GACGAACGCUGGCGGCGUGCUUAAUGCAUGCAAGUCGAACGAGGUCCAUCCUCACUUCGGUGAGGUGAAGACCUAGUGGCGAACGGGUGAGUAACACGUGAGGAACCUGCCCCGAAGACCGGGAUACCAGCGGGAAACCGCUGCUAAUACCGGAUACCCCUCGCGGAUCGCAUGGUCUGCGAAGGAAAUGGAUUCCGCUUCGGGAGGGCCUCGCGGCCUAUCAGCUUGUUGGUGGGGUAACGGCCUACCAAGGCAUCGACGGGUAGCUGGUCUGAGAGGACGAUCAGCCACACUGGGACUGAGACACGGCCCAGACUCCUACGGGGGGCAGCAGCAGGGAAUCUUGCGCAAUGGGCGAAAGCCUGACGCAGCAACGCCGCGUGGGGGAUGAAUGCCUUCGGGUUGUAAACCCCUUUCAGCGGGGACGAAACUGACGGUACCCGCAGAAGAAGCCCCGGCCAACCUACGUGCCAGCAGCCGCGGUAAGACGUAGGGGGCGAGCGUGUCGGNUUAGUU
rnacentral:rRNA from 1 species